rnacentral:snRNA from 1 species
AUACUUACCUGGCAGGGGAGAUGCCACGAUCAAGAAGGUGGUUUUCCCAGGGUGAGGUUUAUCCAUUGCACUCCGGAUGUGCUGACCCCUGCAAUUUCCCCAAAUGCGGGAAACUCGACUGCAUAAUUUGUGAUAGUGGGGCACUGCGUUCGCGCUCUCCCCUG